UACGGAGGGUGCAAGCGUCAAUCGGGAUUACUGGGCGUAAAGCGCACGCAGGCGGUCUGUCAAGUCGGAUGUGAAAUCCCCGGGCUCAACCUGGGAACUGCAUCCGAAACUGGCAGGCUUGAGUCUCGUAGAGGGAGGUAGAAUUCCAGGUGUAGCGGUGAAAUGCGUAGAGAUCUGGAGGAAUACCGGUGGCGAAGGCGGCCUCCUGGACGAAGACUGACGCUCAGGUGCGAAAGCGUGGGGAGCAAACAGG
rnacentral:rRNA from 1 species